UUGAAUAUAUAAUAUAUUUCCUUGCAAUACCAUUUGUCAGUGUGUCUAUAGUGUAAGUUAUUGUGUGUAUAUAUGUCUGGCAACUUGUGCAAAAUAUUUUUGACUAUCUGUUGUGGCUAAAACCCGAGUAAUCAUUUUGUGAGGAUUUAAUAUAUUGUGUACUUGUGAUUUUUUUUAACCGCUACCUCAUGUGUUCUCAACAGAAGACCUUUUUGCUGUGUUUCUACCACACCUGAAGAAAGACCUGGAGAGUUUUGUUGAACUUUGAAACAAUCAUCAUCCGAUCCAGACCAAAAACGGCACGACUCCUGAGCAGCUACUGCUACUACAGCACAGGGGAAAGCAGUAUUUAAUCAGCCACAAAAUACUGAGGAGGUGGAUGGUGUGAUGGAGAGAUGGAUGAGAUCAGGGUUCCUCAAACUGAGCUGCAAAUACAAGAUCUCAGGAUCAGACGGCUUCCACAGCACUGUUCUAGAAAAAUAUAAACACAGAAGAAAUAACUUUCAGAACACAUUUACAGCUGCUUUCAUAUACUUUAUGUAUGUGUAAAUAAAAUGUAUUUGCAUGUG